rnacentral:rRNA from 1 species
UACGGAGGAUGCGAGCGUUAUCCGGAUUUAUUGGGUUUAAAGGGUGCGUAGGCGGACUGUCAAGUCAGCGGUAAAAUUGAGAGGCUCAACCUCUUCCCGCCGUUAAAACUGGUGGUCUUGAGUGGAUGAGAAGUACGCGGAAUGCGUGGUGUAGCGGUGAAAUGCAUAGAUAUCACGCAGAACUCCGAUUGCGAAGGCAGCGUACCGGCAUCCAACUGACGCUGAGGCACGAAAGCGUGGGGAUCAAACAGG